rnacentral:tRNA from 1 species
CUUUGAGUAGCUAAGCAGCGGCGGCCUUUUAAGCCGACGAUGGGAACACCACCACCCCUCAGAGC